GCUUACCAUUAUAUUUAUCGCUAUUGUAGCCAUCAGCACCACAGUCUAACAGGACUAAAUCCCUUUUUCCAUUUAGCAGGUGCAAAACCAUUUCUACCUUGAAUAGGAUUCAAGAAGUCUGUGCUCCUUGGAUGUACCUGCUGCUGCCCUAUCAGCAGAUAGAGCUGGAGCCUUUGCGGAAUAUUCUGAAGCGACUUCCUCAGGCUUAGAAGAGCCAGAACGGUUUUCUUGCCCUGACAGUUCUGGGACCACAUACUGCCAAACCACUUUGUGGAGUUGAAGGCUGAUGAGUCUGGGUAUGUACAACAUGCUGGCUUUCUAUUCCACUCUCAAAUUCUGUGUGAUACAUCAAACCACCAUCAAAUGCACCCGCACCUAAGGACAUCAUGGAUUAUAAUCAUGCUGUGUGAUGAACAAACUUACUCCCGUCUCUCUGCUCAGGAUCCAUGAAGAGGUCAGCUUAAUGUCUGGGUCACGCAGUGCUUGGAAACAUGGGUAACCUUAACCCCAGCCUCUACCUCUCUGACACUGCUCCAGGGAGCUCGAACCCUCCUCACGGA
rnacentral:lncRNA from 1 species